rnacentral:lncRNA from 1 species
GGAAGAAAAGACAGAGAAUUGGGUUUUCUCUUCUUCAUAAGGUUUUGGGAAGACUGAAGCAAUCGUUGCUGAAGUCAGUGUUGUAAUGGUGAAUCGGGAUUUUUUUAAUGAAGUGGGUUUGAUUACUCUUGACUAUUUUGUGAAAUCAAGUUACGUCUGUGAUUGAAGAAUUAAAGGGGUGUCUAUAGGAUUGAGUAUGCGGAGUGCAUGAAAUUUAUUGGGUUAAUCUAACAGGACAGUCAGUGGAUACAAGAUCGUAAGUACAAAGGGGUAUUGAAGAUUAACAGUUUGGGUUGUUCGGGGUUCUCUGUAACGUCUAGAGACCUACUGACUAGGGCAAAAAAAGAACUUCGACAAGCAGUCAAAGGGCAUCAGUAAAGAUUUAUGGUGUAUUCUUGCAGUCGUUUAUAUUCCAGAAGUAAAAACUGAUAGACUGCUUGACUAUCGGCGGAUCUCCAUACUACAUUCUACAGCCAGACGCCCGGCGCAUUCUCGAGCAGGAAAGCACGUAAUACGAUAUAAGUGGUGAACCCGACGUGAAAGCUUGAGGUGGAAGGUAUUGGAUUUUGGUUGAUUUUAUCUUUAUUUUAUGGAAAACGAAAAUAAAAAUUUUGAAGGAUUUUUGGGAGGAGUUUCUGGUGGGGAUUCUUCUAAAGGACAAGGUAUGCACAUGGAUCCGUCUAUUGCUAGUAUGUUUCAAGCCUUCUCAUUAUCAAUGCAGCAACAGCAAAGCAAUGAUCGAAAGGAAGCUUUGGCAACCAAAGCAUUACAAGCAGUGGUCAAUAAAAUUGAUCAAUUUGAUGGAAGGAAUAUUUCAAGGUAUUUAAGAUGUUAUGUUCGUGAAAUAGAAUUAAAUCGGGUUUCUGAGAAGAAAAUGGUUGAACUAUUUGGACUUGGCAUGAUACUUGAGAUAAGAGACGACAUUACAUCGAUUACGGAUCGUUAUGGGAAUUCAUGGGAGGAUUUUUUACAUGCAUUGAAAGACGAAUAUUUCUUGGAAGAUGCUGAUCGCGUUACUAAGAAGCUGUUGCUGGAAUGGAUUGAACGGCCCAAUAAGAAUUUGCAAGCAACAGAGCUACUAAGGGAAUUUGAGAGGUAAUAUUCUCAAUUGUCGAAGGUAGAAAAAGUGACAUUGGAGCCGAAUAAAGUUGAUCUCUUUCUUGAAGUUGCUGAUGGAGAAUUGGAAGAAAAAUUAGAACUCCUUCUUGAAGACAAAGAAGAAGAUGAAGGAUUGACAACGAAGUAGAAGAACGUUGAAGAUGCGGUGGGGUUGCUUACAAAAAAAAGAAAGGAGGAAGGAUAGGAGCAAUAUUCACAAAACAGUACAAGCACCCAAAGCUUCAGUACGUACAACACCACCAACAAUGCCUACAGUUCAACCUUCGACAUCCUUAUCAAAGAAAGCAGAUAUGGAAAUGGAAGAAAUUAUAUGAGGAAUGCGAGAUCUUCAAAUCAAAUUAGCAAGACUUGAAGAGAAUACUUCUACAAAUAAUUCGAAGAAUGUUUCAAAACAAGGAUAUGUACAAAGAUGCAUUUGGUGUGAUGAUGCUUCACACACUAGAAAAGAUUACAAUGAAUUUAAUAAUAUGAUACGGCAGGAAAUUAUUUGCUGAAAAGAUGAGAAGAUAGCAUUGAAAAAUAGAGAGGAUCUUCUUCAAACCAAUUUUGGUAAGGGAGAAAUGAGAGCAUUGGUUCAAGAUUACUUAAAAGAGCAUCAAACAGUAGUACGGGAAAGUGCAAGUUAUGGUGCUAGAGUAGAUGAUGAAAUUGGUGGAAGUACGGAAACUAGUGAGUUUUGGGCUUCUGCCGUUUCUACAAUGUAAGAAGGGAAAUUACCUCGAGAAGCGUUAUCGAGAACUGCAGCUACAAUACGAGGAAGAACAGGUUGGGAGGAUCCUGUUGAGUCUCUUUCAGUUCAUGCAUAUAUUGCUAAGAGCCAACAUGAAGCUUUGAUGGAAGAAAAAAGACGAGGAAAUUUUGAUGAUACUAGAGAAGGAAAUUCUUUUAAGAGGCAAACUCGAGGAGACAAGGCUCGGGAGGCAGCUUCACAAGAAUUGCCUGUAAAGGAUACCUCAGCAUCAUUGGGAGAGAAAAUAAAGUAGACAAAAGAUAAAGGCAAAUCAAUUGCUUAUAAGCUACUUUCUGACAUUGAAGCGGCAACAAAUUUAAAAGGGGUGUUGGAAGAACCUAUAUUAAACGCUAAGGUGGAAUUCACAUUGAAAGAAGUCUUGGGAAUUGCAAAGAAGGAGUCUCAUGAUGUUAUUAUUGACAGCAUUAAGCGAAAGAGGCAAUUAAUGAGCGAAACUGGAAUGAGUCAUGCUAUUGAUGCAAGAAUAUGUAGAGAUGAAGAAGAGGUUGAUAUUAGUUACAAGCAACCAACAAAUGAAAAGAAUGGGUAUAAUCAGCGAGUACGUUUCGAAGAUUCUAGUGACAAGGAAAUGGGAACUUUGAGCCAUUAUACUCGAAAGCAUUGGGCAAGGGCAACUACUGAGGUAUUGGUGAAGGUAGGAGAUAUAGAAGAACCAAUAGUUGCUUUGGUGGACCAUGGUUCUGAAAUAAAUUUCAUGUCUAAAGAUCUUUAUAAGAAGCAAAAAUGGCCAAUUGAUACGAAACAUGGAUGGACAAUUGGAGCGGCUAAUAACACAUAGGGCGAAUUAUAUGGAGCUUGUCCAAAUGUCAAAAUUUGGAUUGGGGAUGUUGCGACGGAGCAACAUUUCUUUGCUCAGGAUACAACGUCUUAUCCGUUGAUUUUAGAUCAAUCUUAUAUUACAGCAACACGGAUGGAAACAAAAGUACUUGACGAUGGUUCUGCUUAUGCAAGGGUAUGGAGCAAAGGUGGGAGGAAAGUUGUACAAUUUCUAGCAGUACCUCCUAACCAUGAACGGAAUCGAGAUAGGUUGAGGGAGAAACCAUUGCCAAAGAUUGUUGAAGGAUUUAAGGAUUUUGAAAAGGUACCACUGUAAAGCGAGAUUAUAGAGGUACAAAAGAGGAGGUAUUCUCGCGAGAUGAAGGUGCUUUUGAUGCGAGUUUUAUUGGUAUAUUAGAGAAUGGAAAUAUUAUGUAUAAGAAAGUUGAUGAUUUUAAAAGAAAAGAAAGAAAAACAUUAUAUAAUAUUGAAGGACAGUUAUGCAAGAUAGGUACAUUGCAAGAUGAUUAGAGGAUUUUGGGUGUUUAUGAAGAAAAUGGACUGGAAGAUUCAUUGGAAUUGAUUACAUCUAUUGGGUUAGGGGAUAAUGAUAAGAUUGUUGAGAUUCAUUCAAGAGAGGUUUAUACCGUACUUGAAUCUUUUCAAGCACCAGAAGUCACUGUAGAGACGAGAUAUAAAACGACAGAUAAGAAGGUAGAGCUUGUUGCCGGACCAUUACCAGAGGAUUCUAAAGAACAAAUGGGAGAAGCAUCAAAAGAAGCAAGUUUAAGAGAUCCAAUGAGUAUUGGACAUCAGUUUACUGAAGAGACUUUUGAAGAAUUGAAGAUUGGUUCUGAUGGUUCUUUAUUGCCGGAGGAAAUUACUUGCUUCAAAAAGAUGUUGGCUAAAUAAGGUAGAUCGUUUGCCUUCGAAUCUCAUGAAAUUGGGUGUGUGGAUCCAAAUAUUAUAACACCUAUGGUUAUCUUCACUGUACCGCAUGUACCUUGGAAUCUAAGACCGAUUCUAAUACCGAGGGCACAUUUACCUAAAUUGGUUGAACUAUUGAAAGAAAAGAUAAAGAUGAAAAUAUUAGAACCUUCAUUUGCGCCGUAUUCUAGUCGAUGGUUUACGGUACCUAAGAAGAAUGGGUCACUGCGGUUUAUUCAAGAUAUGCAGCCGGUGAAUGCUGUAACUGUCAGGAAUGCAGGAAUUGGACCUAUUGUGGAUGAAUUUGCUGAGGCGUUUGCUGGAAGGGCGAUCUAUUCAAUGGGUGAUUUGUAUUUAGGUUAUGAUCAAUUUCAACUUGCCGAAAGAAGUAGAGAUACGACAACAAUGAAGACACCACUGGGAUUGGUUAGAAUGUGCACUCUUCCUCAAGGCGCGACCAACUCAGUUGCGCAUAUGAUGAAUGGGAUGAAUAAGGUAUUGAGAGAUUUUAUUCCAGAAAAGACUAUGCCUUUUCUGGAUGAUGUUCCUUUAAAAGGGUGCAGAGAAGGAGACAAGGAUGAAACUUUAGAUACGAGGGGGUGUCACAAAUAUGUUGUUGAUCAUAUACAAGAUUGUAAAAAGAUUUUAACUCGGCUUGGAGAAGUUCAUCUUACAUUAUUGGGUAUGAAGUCCGUAUUUGGAGUACGAGAGGUUGUACUUGUUGGACAUUUAUGUGGAUCUUAUGGAAGAAAACCAGAUCCGACUAAAGUUGAUGCAAUUGGAAGGAUGAAAGAGGAUUGUGAUUCUUUAACAGAGAUUCGCAGGUUUUUGGGUGCAUGUGUAUUUUAUCGAAUCUGGAUCCCUUAUUUUGCUCACAUAGCGGAUCCAUUAUAUGAACUGUUACGCUGUCGUGUUGUAACACGAGUAUAUAGUAAUAAUAAAAAGAAAGGGGAAUUUUAUUAAUAUUCAGUUACCUCGAAUAUUGGGAGCAUCAACCAACUCCAGUACAAAUACUGAGUGGUCAGGUUCAGUCACUACGUUACAGUCAGCCGGGGCAUACUGAAAUGCUCCAUUCGAUUUCAAUAACGGGAGUCAGCAGGAAGAGAAGGACCAAUUCACACGACAGGUUCGAGGAGCCAAUUGGAUCCAAUUUCGAUAAUCCAAUCCGGGUCCUCUUAUCCAAUAUGAGACCUGAAUUGGCCGGUCAACCCAAUGCAGUCUAAUUACGGAAAAUCCAAGUCUUACUACGGGUCUUAGCCAAUCUGAUGCGAGGACCAAUUUGACCCAAUUACGGGAACAUCUAGGUUACUACGGGCAUUUUCCCAAUAUAGGACCUGAAUUGGUCGGGCGACUCAAUGUGGUCCCGAUUAUGGGGUUCGAUUCUGUUUCAGGCUGUCCUGUUCUCUGUACCGUUUCAGGGAACGUUGUUUUCGGUAAAUGGAUUUCUUAAAGGUUAAAACGGAGGAGAAAGCUUGACGGCGAGAGCCAAUUUCGGAUCCAAGCUUGAGAUGGGAGCCAAUUCCGGAUCUAAGACGGAAGAUUGAAGAAAUUCAGAGGAUAAGAUUAGGGGAGAAUAUAGUUUUAGGGAGGGAGGUUUUUUUUCAGGGAAAUCGGGGGGGGCAAGUUUUCAAGCUUUUGCAAGGUUACGAGUUCGGUUUUUCAUUGGAAGUUUUUGGAAGAUCAGGGGAAUUAGAGAGAGGAGCUUCAUGCUUCGGGUCGGGGAAGGAAAGACAUAGAAUUUGGAUUUUUCUUCUUCGUAGAGUUUUGGGACGACUGAGGCAAUCGCUGUUGAAGUCAGUGUUGUAAUGGUGAAUCGGGAUUUUUAAAUGAAGUGGGUUUGAAUACUCUUGACUGUUUUGUAAAAUCGAGUUACGUCUGUGAUUGAAGGAUUAAAGGGGUGUCUAUAGGAUUGAGUAUGCGGAGUGAAUGAAAUUUAUUGGGUUAAUCUAACAGGACAGUCAGUGGAUACAAGAUCGUAAGUACAAAGGGGUAUUGAAGAUUAACAGUUUGGAUUGUUCGGGGUUCUCUGUAACGUCUAGAGACCUACUGACUGGGGCAAAA